rnacentral:rRNA from 1 species
UACGAGGGGGGCGAGCGUUGUUCGGAAUUAUUGGGCGUAAAGGGUGCGUAGGCGGUUCGGUAAGUUUCGUGUGAAAUCUUCGGGCUCAACUCGAAGCCUGCACGAGAUACUGCCGGGCUUGAGUGUGGGAGAGGUGAGUGGAAUUCCUGGUGUAGCGGUGAAAUGCGUAGAUAUCAGGAGGAACACCUGUGGCGAAAGCGGCUCACUGGACCAUAACUGACGCUGAUGCACGAAAGCUAGGGGAGCAAACAGG